GGACACCUGCAUAAAGAAGACAAGAAGUGCUGAAAUACUGUGAAGUGGAAAACUGUGAAUUGAAAAAUUGUGAAAUGAAGACAAGAAGUGCUAAAAUACUGUGAAGUGAAAAACUGUGAAUUGAAAAAUUGUGAAUUGAAGACAACUAUUUCUAUUACUUUUCAUACUUUAUAUUUAAACUUUCCACCAAUUUUUUAAUUCUAUAGAAGACCCUAUAGAUAGAUAUUUUUAUAAAUAAAUGCCCGCUGAUUAGGCCUGCUCCCCUGGCUGUGGUUUGCUAACCCUUUCCUAUUAUUUUUUAUUACCUUCUUUUCCUUUUAUUUUUGUUAUUCAUUUUUUAUAUAAAAUAAAAUUUCUUUUUUGGUGGAUCCUUCUACCCACAAUAUUUUUAAAUCAUAUUGGCUUUAAAUCGGCUAUGCCUAACAGGCGGUACCGAUUGAGGAACUUUAUUUUUCAGUAUUUUUAUAUUCCUCACCUAUCUUAUGUCCCUAUCUACUAUCUAGCGAAACCACAGCCAAGGGAACGGGCUUGGAAAAAUCAGCGGGGAAAGAAGACCCUGUUGAGCUUGACUCUAGUCUGACUCUGUGAAGAGACAUGAGAGGUGUAGCAUAAGUGGGAGGCCGUGAACCCUCGCGGUUGUGUCGUGCCGUCAGUGAAAUACCACUACUUUCAUCGUUUCUUUACUUACUCGGUGAAGCGGAAAGCGGACCAUGAGUGUCCACGCUUCUAGCACUAAGUGCAAGGCCCUUCGUUGGCCCGCACGAUCUGUUCCGAGGACAGUGUCAGGCGGGGAGUUUGACUGGGGCGGUACAUCUGUCAAAUGGUAACGCAGGUGUCCUAAGGCGAGCUCAGCGAGGACAGAAACCUCGCGUAGAGCAAAAGGGCAAAUGCUUGCUUGAUCUUGAUUUUCAGUACGAUUACAGACCGCGAAAGCGGGGCCCCUCGAUCCUUUUGACUUUAAGAGUUUUAAGCAAGAGGCAUAGGUCGGCAUUUUAAGCUGUCCUCACUCAAACUCACGAUCACUAUUUUCUGGCGGCCAAGCGUUCAUAGCGACGUCGCUUUUUGAUCCUUCGAUGUCGGCUCUUCCUAUCAUUGCGAAGCAGAAUCGCCAAGCGU
rnacentral:ncRNA from 1 species